rnacentral:lncRNA from 1 species
CAGAGAUUUAUGACAGAUAAUAGUGUUACAAUGUCACUAUUGAUAAAUUUUAAAAAUGUAUGUUUUGAAACCACAAUAUCCUACUUGUACCUAUAGCCCUAUAACAUGCAAAAAAAAGCACGUAAACACUGGGUAUUUUUAAACUCAGGACAAAACUUUGAAUCUAUUUAGCAGUUUUUUUCAUUCGUUUUUGUAGAUGAGUAAAAGAUUUUUCAAGUAAAAGUCAAAAAACAUGUAUUUUUUUCAAUUUUUCAUCAUAUUUUUUUUUAAUUAAAAUACAUGAGAUUAUAUAAAUAAUGGUAUGUAAAGAAAGCCCCUUUUGUCCUGAAAAAAAAAUAUAUAAUUUGUGUGGGAACAGUAAAUGAGAGAGCGGAAAAUUACAGCCAAACACAAACACCACAAAAGUGUAAAAAUAUGCCUGGUCGCUAAUGUACAACAUCGCAAAAACAGUCCAGUCCUUAAGGGGUUAAAAUCUAAGAAAUGUUCAUUUUUCAAUUUCUGCGUGCAGGGUCGUCUUUAAUAUUGAUUGGACCCUGGGCAAAGCAUUUGCUUGGGCCUUCUGGACCCUGUACAACCUCCCCAGGUGUGCAAUCACCCUUAACGCAGUGGCAUCCUAAAGUAGAGAGGUGCAAGAAUAUUUUUUGGGCUCUCCAUAUUGCAAAGAUGUUUAAAAGGUAGAUCUACAUUGACACACAUUCACAGACACACACAGGCAUACUGACACAUACACUGACAGACAUAUUGAAACACACAUAUACAAAGACAUACGGACAUACAUUCACAGGCAUACUGACACACACACUGACAGACAUACUGACACACACAGGCAGACAUACUGACACAUACAUUGACAGACAUACUGACAUAGACAUAUACUGAGACAUUCACAGAUACACACACACUGACAGGCAUACUGACACAUACACUGACAGACAUUCUAACGCACACAGGCAGACAUACUGACAGACCUAUUGACACACACAAGCAGAAAUACUGACACAUAGACUGACAGACAUAAUGACACACACAGGCAGACAUACUGACACAUACACUGACAGACAUAAUGACAUACAGACAUAUACUGAGACAUUCACAGGUACACACACACACUGGCAGACAUACUGACACACACACACACAGACACACAAAAUUUACACUAUUAAACCCACCCUCCAGUGUCCUACCUUGGAGGAUGAUGUUCCCACUGGUGGCUGAAGCUGUUGGGAGUUGGGGGUCUAGCUAGUUCGGCUCGGCCCAGAUGCCCUCCGCUCUUCCUCUUCCUCCUCCCACGCGGCUCCUCUCUUUAUGGGAGGAAGUGACUUGCGGCCGUCACUUCAGCCCAGCUGACGAAAAGCGAGAGGGCCAGAUCGCAAGACUGGGCCCCCGCUCACAGAAGCCCACCGGGUGGUCCUUAGUGCAUGGGCCACCCGGUUGGCCUCCUUAGUGUGGCUCACCGGCGGGUGGGAGUAACUGGGCCCGGGGCAGCUGCCUCGUUUUCCCCGCGGUUCAAUAAUGUCUCAUGAUUAAAACACUACCCCCAGGUUUUUAUGGAGUUUUGGAAAGUUACAAUGUCUAAUAUAGAGCUUUCCACUUUUCAGUUUUUACUCACUGAAAUUUGCUAGAUUGGUUUGCCUGGAAUGAGAAUUACCCCCAUCAUGGCAUACCAUUUGCAAAACUAGUCAAUUCUAAAUUGGGUAUGUCCAGUCUUAUUUAGUAGCUGUGACGAGACAAUCUCGCCACUGUGCAUUGGAGGAGCCUGGUUGCCCGCCUGCUGCCUUUAGACUAUGGCCCCAUGUUGAAACGCUUGAUUUUCCCCUGCAAAGACAUGAAAGCCGGGUCAUUCGGUUUGUCCUGUUUGAGCGGUGAUACGCCAGAUAGCUAUGCCAUGGAGCCCAUUCAUAUAAUGAAAGACUAUGGGAAAGACUUUGGCUCCAUGGCAAUUGAACUGUAUGUGUGUGGUCUGAGCCCAAUUCAGUAAUAAUGUGUGCUCAGACCUAAGCUAUCUGGGGAUAUGUUGCAUGUCUGUAUUUUAUGUAAUAAAUGUAACCUUGUGUAUUUUAUUGUAUUUUACUGUCUUUUUACUGCCAUGUGCUUAAUGGAGUUUUGCCUCUGUCCUUGGAGAUAAUUGGAUUACUUCCCAAUUAUCUCCAGGAUAGAAGACUCGGUGGAACUGGUUUUGGGCAGAAAAGCCAUGCUUCAUUUGGUCACAAAGGACUACGAUCUAUCUUUUGAACCAAUGGACCAAUUUGGAUGAUUUUGACAUAUGUUUGUAUUUGGAGUAUGCUGAUUCUGAAAAUGUAAGGUUUUUUUUAUGUGAAUGUGAUGCAUACUUUUCAAGUUAUGAAUAAUGUGGAAAAAUUGUAUUUCUCUGCUUGUGAUAAUUACAUUACCCAUUGUGUAAGGUAAUUGUAUCACAGGCAGAGGGGAGGAUUUUGUGUGGGAGUGUCUGAGUGUUUUGUAUGUGUUUAUUGGUUGUGUUCCAAAACCCUGUGGGUGGUACUAAUGUGUAUAUAAGAACAAUAAACCCACAGCUCUGUCUGUUCACUGCUUGACCCUCGACACGGAGCUUUGUCUUGUUCUUGGGGGGAUUUAUCAUGCUGUUCCAGUUCGACUGCUAGGAGUGUAAACCUAUUUGUAUGGUUUUUCCUAUUCAGCUGAUUACAGCAUUCAUAUGGUUUCCUGUUCGGCGGAUUGGUGUUCUGCAGUAGCUGUGCCUGUGUCUCUGGAAGGGAAGAUCUACUAAACGGCGGUUUAGCCCUUUUAUGUCUGGGGGUGCCGUUACAGUAGCCAUUUAGUCACAAACCCUGUAACGAUAUGAAAAUCGGGUACACCAAAACAAUCUCGAUCUUACUUACAAAACACAUAUAACCUUAUAACAGAGCUCCCGUACUCCAACUGAGUACCUCUGCCAGGUCAACCUAAUCUCUGUUACCAGGGACUCUGGAGUGCUUCAGACCCAGUCACCAAAGCUGGACUGAGGGUUUUGAGGGCCUCUCUUACCGGACCAGGCUGCUGCCCCCCUUUUCCAGCUAGGUAUUGUCCUCUGUCUUUGCCUCUUCUGUCUUUGCCCAGGGUAUUCAAAAUGUGGUAUGUCCAGUCUUUUUUAGUAGUCACUUAGCCACAAUUUGCCUGGCUAUUAGUUUUUUUGCAUUUUUCACACAAAAACGGCACUUUCACCGAUGAUAUCAUCAUCAUCGUGAUACAUUUUAGUACUCUAAAACACUAAUAGUAAAACAUUCAGCUAUGUCUCAAUGUCUCACAAGUACAACAGUACCCCCUAUUUACAGAUUUUAUGGUGUUUUGGAAAGUCACAGGGUAAAUUUAAAUAUGUAAAAACUGGGCAAGCUUUUAUUUUGACCCUGUAACUUUCCACAACACCAUGAAACCUGUACAUUGGUGGCAUUGUUAUCUGUAUGAAUUUGUGUGUAUGUGUCGGUGUAUUUAUAUGCAUCUGUGUGUUAACAUGCAUGAAUAUCUGUGUAAGUAUGUAUGUAUGUGCAUACAUUCAAGCAGUCAAACACCAGCACAACAUACAAGCACACUCCUGCAAUCUAACACAAAUAUUAAAUACACACACCCCUGCAUUCAAAUUAAAAAAAUAUAUACAAACACACCCCCUCACUCAAACACAAAUACCUCACACAAAUGUACAUCCGCAUUUAAAUGUGAACAUUACAUUCAGACACAUCCCUGCAAUCAAACGCAAACAUUACAUACAAACACACCCCUGUAUUAAAACACAAUAAAUGUAUACAAGCACCCCUUCAAACACCAUCACUGUACAUUACACUAUAGCGCCAGUAAAUGCCGCAGCGCUGUACAGAUAUACAACCUAGAAAUUUUGACUUGGGGUGCCUUGGAAAAGUACUGAAAUACUAAGGGCGCCUUGAGCCUAAAAAGUUUGGGAACCAUUAGAUUAAUCUGUCUCACAGUCACAGCUCUCCUGAGUAAAAAUAAACAUCACCUGUUUGUAUUAAACCCAGGGGCAUUUUAGCCGCGAGGUUAACAAGGCAUUUGCCUUGGGCGGCAUUUUCCAGGGGGCGGCAAAAAAAGCCGCCCCCCAAGUGCCCAGGGCAAAUGCCUUGUUAACCUCGUGGCUAACUGACAUGCUGAUCGGGCGGCUGGCGAGGUAGCUCUUUUUCUGAGCGGUCUGCUCAGCUCCCUCGCGCGCCGCAGAGUGAGGCUGGGAGCCGGAAUAUGACGUCUUAUUCCGGCUCCCAGCCUCACUCUGCGGUGCGCGAGGGAGCUGAGCAGACAGCUCAGAGGAAGUGCUCCCAACCGCGCGCCCGCCAGCCGCCCGACUGCUCAGCAGCCACUGGACCACCACUGGACCACCCUCCCCCGCCCAGCAUUCCCAAAGGUAAGGAGGCUGGGGGGCGGGGAUUUAAUAAGUAAAAAAAAUAUGUUAAUGUGAGUAAGUGUGUGUAUAUGUGUGUGUUUAAAGAUUUACAAACAAAACGUUUAUCGUGAAAUAAUUAUAGCAGCUACCACUGUGAAUAGGGACUCUCCACCCUAUAUAUACAUAUAAAAGUGAACAAAGUGUAGGAGAUUAGAAAAAACUUUGAUUGAGUCACGUGGAACGCACCGAAACCGGAAGCUUGACGGCUACCAAUAAGAAUUAUCCUGCAAAGAAGUAUGUCAGUAUGGGGAUUGGAUAAUAAGAAGAUUGGAGCACCAAUCAAAUAGAAAGACAUGAUAUUUAAACCUCCGCAAGCAGCAAACACAUUACCGAUUGAGAAAGCUGUCACAGUACAGCAAAACGCGUCUCGGCUGGAAGAAAGGACUUUUAAUUGACUUUUUAUUCAUUUUUCUUUAUAUAAUUUAAUACUUCCUUUAUUUUGUUUGCAUUAUAUUUUAAUGAAUAAAUUUUGUCCAACAUUGAAGUCCUUCUUCCAUCUUUUUGCUGGUAAAAGAAGGGUGGUAGCCUCCUUAAAGGCACAGAAACCUACAUACUAGGAGCCAGGUAUAAGGGCUCCCUACCAGGUGAGAAGCCAUUUAUUUAAAUAUUCACCAUUGAACAUUGUGAUUUACUACACAAGGAUCUCUCCUUUUUUACUUCCUUUAUGUAUGUAUAAGGACCACAGACAAGUAGAGGAUCGAUUGGGUUUUGUGUCGCCUAAAGUACACACACGCCGCUGUGAUCUGAGCCUAUCCUAAUUGGCUCAGUUACAUGUGAGUGGGUCUAUAUAGUAUAUUUACUUACUGUGUCUGUUACCCAGCGUUACUUGCACUAUUUGUAUUUAUUUGUUUCAGAUACACUGUUUCAGAGUAUCCCCUUUAUAUAUUUGUAUGCAUACCCAUAUGGGUAAGUUGGUUAACAUUUGAGCGCUCCACAUGUACACCAGUGGUGGUUUUUUCUAAUCUCCUACACUGAGUGUUCACUUUGUUCACUUUUAUAUGUAUAUGUGUGUGUGUGUCUGUUAGUGAGUGUGUGUCUGUUAGUGAGUGUGUGUCUGUUAGUGUGUUUGUCUGUUAGUGUGUGUGUGUUUCUGUUAGCUAGUGUAUGCGUAUCUGUCAGUGAAUGUGUGUGUGUAUUUAGAAGGUGGGGCGGGGGCAAGGAUUGGGUGGGGUGGCACGGGGGGAGGGGGCACAAAACCAGGAUACACCACUGAUUAAACCCCAUUUGUUUUUGAAAAGUUCAAAAAAUCUUAUACAGCUACCAAAUACACCCAAAUGUCAUCAAAUCAUUUGUGAAUGAGAGAGAAUUUUUACUGUGAAUUCUACUCCAAGAUCGAAAACUCAACAAUCCCUGUCAUCACUUAAACAUUGAUGAAGUAGCCUUCACGCCGUAACAAAAAUAUGAUAAAAUAAUAGAAACUAGAAUAAGUUAAAGUAUUUAUUUUGGAUUUAGAGCAAGGGUUUGCAAUACUACCUCAUUUUUGGAUCAGCUUUUUCGCCUUUGUGUUCUUUUUUGUUGCUGUUUGAUGUAACAGAGUAUUAGUCAAAUUAACAAGCAAAACGAAGAAUAAAAAAAAUACUAUUCUUUUGUUUAUUUAAAAAAACAAUUAUUAAUGUUUUGGUGGUAGUGUUACUUUAAUGUGUAAGCUUUAAACACCAUUGUGUUAUAUGCAAAAAUAUAUAGAUUGUAAUGUAUUAUUAUGCAUAAUAAUUGUUGUGUAUUUAUUAUUAUUUUUAAUCCUUUACAAUUUAAAUUUGUAUUAUUGACAUAUAUGUUGCACCAGCAAAUUCCACAGUGCUUGACAAUAUCAUUAAGGGGAGUUCAGCAAUAAAUGAGACAAACUGUUACAGAUUUUGACAGGAACCAUAGGUUGAUGAGGACCAUACACACCAGGAAGGGCAGCGUGAGGGAAUGGAACCAAAUGACAGGGUAGAACAUUAGCAGAACUGGACAGUGAGAGUGAAGUGAAGAACGGACCCACUAAUUUAGUUGAGAGAGUAAAAGCAGUUACGUUUGGAUUCUGAAGAGGUGGAUUUUUAAGGACUUUUUUAGGGAAAGUUUUAUGGAAGAUAUAGAGUCAGCGAUGAGAUGCCUGCAAGCGCGAGUUAGCAGUAUGGGUACAUGCAGCAGACAGAAGAUAUUUAACGGCAGAGCGUUGCGUCUAGUGAAGGGGUAUACCUAUGAAUUGGUGAAAAAAAUAUAGGGGGGCACAGGGAGCAGAAUUUCAGUAAUCAAUGAGAUAAACUACAAGAGCACGAACAGGCUCCUUAGCAGCAUCAUGUGUAAGGAAACGGCGGAUGCAGGCAAUGUUUUGUAGAUACAAUUGGCAUGAAUUGGCGACACAUUGGAUAUGACUCGUAAUGUUGGGAUAUAACUGAAAACAAAAAAAAAAAGUGUGAAAGCAGAGGUUAUCGAGGGCCGUACUUGGGCAAGCCGGUUUAUCCCGAAGAAGAGGCCUGAGUGGUUUUAAAAUGCUAGCAUUCAGGAUCUCUAGUUUGCCAAUAACAAUGUAACCCUUACUACAAUGGUCUCCUGUAUAUCUGGACAUGGACUCUUAUACUAUAAACAUGGACUACUCUCUGCUCAGAAACCGCUGCUGAGGAAUACACGAUGCAGAUCACGAAACACAUAUACUCAGAAAGACUAUGCAAAAUUGAAAUACAUAAAAAAAAGCUUAACACGGUGCUGAUGGAUUUUGCCUAAUGUUCCAAAUGGGUCACAAGACUGUUACCUAACUAAGAUAGAUACUUAGACAUUAGAGGUGGCUCACUUUGCAUGAGUACAUAGAUAGCCAUACUAUUUAUUUGAAUAUUUUUUUGUAAUUUUAUUUGAGCUUUUUAAUGCGUAAUUUUAUGCUUAUUUAUUCAUAAAAAUAUAUAUUUUACCAAUGUUACCCAUUUAACACUUUGCAUUAGGCAAGUAGUUGGGAUGCAGCAAACAGGCCAAGCAGAAAUGGUCCUUAAAUAAUAAUGUGGGGAGAAAAUAAUUUAUUAGAUUUCCAAUCUCCCUGCACGACCUGACCCAAACUGCGUUUUGUCCCAUUGAAAUUAUAUUUUGGCUUGCAAGGAAAAUAUCUAGAGGUAAAAGUAGGUCUGAAGGUAUUGUAGAUCCUACCCCAACCUCCCCACACCAAAAAAAAGUAAAAAUUUAAGUAAAGGAGGAUGCAAUCAUAAGACCCCUAGAUGUUCUUACAGUUACGCAGAAACCCUAAGGAAUAAGGGAAAGACCUUGUUUAGAGAAUAGCCCAUUUAAAAUACAAGAAAGACAUGUGAAAACAGUGGAGGCAGUAAAAGGUGUUUAGAAAAUUGCCUUAAAAGACCAAAUUUCUGUUCCAUUUGAAGGAACCAUCCAAACGUAUAAAGCAGAGAUUGCAGUAGCUCGAUAUACCGGAUCUACAGCUAUUGCAAGCCAACAUUUCAUAUAUCCCCAAAGAAAACACAAAACAAAUUACUUAAAGGACCACUAUAGUGCCAGGAAAACAUACUCGUUUUCCUGGCACUAUAGUGCCCUGAGGGUGCGCCCACCCUCACGGACCCCCUCCCGCCCGGCUCUGGGGAGAGGAAAGGGGUAAAAACGUACCUUUUUCCAGCGCUGGGCGGGGAGCUCUCCUCUUCCGAUCCUCCUCCGAUCCUCCCCUUCGGCUGAAUGCGCACGUGCUGCAAGAGCUGCGCGCGCAUUCAGCCGGUCGCAUAGGAAAGCAUUCACAAUGCUUUCCUAUGGACACUGGCGUGCUCUCACUGUGAAAAUCACAGUGAGAAGCACGCUAGCGCCUCUAGCGGCUGUCAAUGAGACAGCCGCUAGAGGCUUUGGGGGAAGGAUUAACCCAUUCACAAACAUAGCAGUUUCUCUGAAACUGCUAUGUUUAUAAAAGAAUGGGUUAACCCUAGCUGGACCUGGCACCCAGACCACUUCAUUAAGCUGAAGUGGUCUGGGUGCCUAGAGUGGUCCUUUAACGGUUACAUUGUCUCAUGGAUUAUUCCUUCAAUUAUGUACGAUUUAACAUUUAGCAAACUAUGAUGCAUUUUAUUCAUUACUGUUUGGAAUGUUCCGGUAUUUGUGGAAAGUAAAAAAUGUUGCACUCUUUCGUAAAAAAUUUAAAUUAAAAAAGGAGAUCUUGUAUAUUCACUGCUGUAAUUUGCCAUAAUAUGUUAUGUUUAUAAUAAAUGCUGAGUAACUGAAAUAAAGGCAAUUUGUAAAACAUA